rnacentral:rRNA from 1 species
GCGAAAAGAACCCCGGCGAGGGGAGUGAAAAAGAACCUGAAACCGUGUACGUACAAGCAGUGGGAGCACGCUUAGGCGUGUGACUGCGUACCUUUUGUAUAAUGGGUCAGCGACUUAUAUUCUGUAGCAAGGUUAACCGAAUAGGGGAGCCGAAGGGAAACCGAGUCUUAACUGGGCGUUAAGUUGCAGGGUAUAGACCCGAAACCCGGUGAUCUAGCCAUGGGCAGGUUGAAGGUUGGGUAACACUAACUGGAGGACCGAACCGACUAAUGUUGAAAAAUUAGCGGAUGACUUGUGGCUGGGGGUGAAAGGCCAAUCAAACCGGGAGAUAGCUGGUUCUCCCCGAAAGCUAUUUAGGUAGCGCCUCGUGAAUUCAUCUCCGGGGGUAGAGCACUGUUUCGGCAAGGGGGUCAUCCCGACUUACCAACCCGAUGCAAACUGCGAAUACCGGAGAAUGUUAUCACGGGAGACACACGGCGGGUGCUAACGUCCGUCGUGAAGAGGGAAACAACCCAGACCGCCAGCUAAGGUCCCAAAGUCAUGGUUAAGUGGGAAACGAUGUGGGAAGGCCCAGACAGCCAGGAUGUUGGCUUAGAAGCAGCCAUCAUUUAAAGAAAGCGUAAUAGCUCACUGGUCGAGUCGGCCUGCGCGGAAGAUGUAACGGGGCUAAACCAUGCACCGAAGCUGCGGCAGCGACGCUGAUGCGUUGUUGGGUAGGGGAGCGUUCUGUAAGCCUGCGAAGGUGUGCUGUGAGGCAUGCUGGAGGUAUCAGAAGUGCGAAUGCUGACAUAAGUAACGAUAAAGCGGGUGAAAAGCCCGCUCGCCGGAAGACCAAGGGUUCCUGUCCAACGUUAAUCGGGGCAGGGUGAGUCGACCCCUAAGGCGAGGCCGAAAGGCGUAGUCGAUGGGAAACAGGUUAAUAUUCCUGUACUUGGUGUUACUGCGAAGGGGGGACGGAGAAGGCUAUGUUGGCCGGGCGACGGUUGUCCCGGUUUAAGCGUGUAGGCUGGUUUUCCAGGCAAAUCCGGAAAAUCAAGGCUGAGGCGUGAUGACGAGGCACUGCGGUGCUGAAGCAACAAAUGCCCUGCUUCCAGGAAAAGCCUCUAAGCAUCAGGUAACAUCAAAUCGUACCCCAAACCGACACAGGUGGU